rnacentral:rRNA from 1 species
GGGCCCGGAGAUGGGUACUGAGACACGGACCCAGGCCCUAUGGGGCGCAGCAGGCGAGAAACCUUUGCAAUGUGCGAAAGCACGACAAGGUUAAUCCGAGUGUCUUCUGCUAAAGAAGUCUUUUGUUAGUCAUAGAACCACUGAUGAAUAAGGGGUGGGCAAGUUCUGGUGUCAGCCGCCGCGGUAAAACCAGCACCUCGAGUGGUCAGGAGGUUUAUUGGGCCUAAAGCAUCCGUAGCCGGUUGUUUAAGUUUUCGGUUAAAUCUAUGCGCUUAACGUAUAGGCUGCCGAAAAUACUGGACAGCUAGGGAGUGGGAGAGGUACACGGUACUCAAUAGGAAGGGGUAAAAUCCUUUGAUCUGUUGAUGACCACCUGUGGCGAAGGCGGUGUACCAGAACACGUUCGACGGUGAGGGAUGAAAGCUGGGGGAGCAAACCGGAUUAGAUACCCGGGUAGUCCCAGCUGUAAACGAUGCAAACUCGGUGAUGCAUUGGCUUGUGGCCAAUGCAGUGCCGCAGGGAAGCCGUUAAGUUUGCCGCCUGGGAAGUACGUACGCAAGUAUGAAACUUAAAGGAAUUGGCGGGGGAGCACCACAAGGGGUGAAGCCUGCGGUUCAAUUGGAGUCAACGCCGA